CAAAGUGGCACCAGGAGGGACCAGCCACUGUGCUUUGCACCCAGCCUCACUGCACCUUCUGGUGCAUCUGGAAGGUCCUGAAGGAGGAGUUCCAGGGCCCCGGCUGCCAUGGGCCCUGAAGGAAUAGUUCGGUGCUGGAGCUGGGCAUGGGAAUAGAGCCAAGCAUUUGAGAGGCAGGGACCAGGCAGAUGUCAGAAACAAGAACCAGCAGACGGUCCAAAGAAGGCAUCUGUCUGAAGGCCAGGAUGCAAGAUACAGUAAGUAGGCUGCCAGCUGCAAGCCAGGAAGAGGGCCCUCACCAGAAGCCAACUAUGAUGGCACCCUGAUCUUGGACUUCCCAGUCUUCAGA